AUGCCUCGCCGAAACGGGAAUGCAUCUGGUAAGUCGCCUCCUUACGCUGAACCACUCGAAUCCCACCCCUCAAGCCCUGACUCCCCGUCUCCCAUCGCAGGCUCCGGCAGCAGUCGUCGCCGCCGGCGCGACGACGACGACGACGAGAGCGUCCCCUCCGAUAACACCUCCGACUCCGACUUCGUCGCUGAUAUGGAGGACGAGGUGGCGGACGACGACGAGGAGUUUGCCUCCGAUGAAGAUGCCCCUGCGCCCGCGGUGGUGAUCGAGGUGGUGGCGCCGCGUCCGGUGCUGUCGCCACGGCCGCCCAAGUCCAAGUGGAGGCGGAAGAAGAAGAAGGGGAAGCGCGACGAGGACGGCCCGCCCCUGCCGUGGGAAGAGUGGGAGGAGGCUAAUACCAAGUGGCUCGACGAGCGCGCCGGGGCAGUGGAGGAGACGGACGCCCCGACCGCUGGGGUGGUGCCGACCGCGGAGCCGGCCCCGGAGGUGCUGCUCCAGCUGCUGCGCUUCCAGAAGGAGUGGCUCGCGUGGGCGCUGGCGCAGGAGGCCUCGGUUUCGCGCGGCGGCAUCCUCGCCGACGAGAUGGGGAUGGGGAAGACCAUCCAGGGUAUCGCGCUCGUCCUCACCGCGCGCCGGCUCCGUCCCCCCGGCUCGCCCCCGCCCUCGCCACCGUCCCCGUCACUGGGCCUCCCGAUGCGCCGGGUAGGGUGCACCCUUGUGAUCUGCCCCGUGGUGGCCGUCAUCCAGUGGGCGCAGGAGAUCGAGCGCCACACGGCCAAAGGCAGCGCGCGCGUGCUGCUCUACCAUGGCGCUCGGCGGGGCUCUCAGAAGUAUGAUUUCGACACCUUCGACUUCGUGGUCACCACCUACUCCACCAUUGAGGCGGACUACCGGAAGCACAUAAUGCCACCCAAGAUUCGGUGUGAGUACUGCAAUAAACAGUUUUACCCCGAGAAGCUGAAGAUUCACUUGAGAUAUUACUGUGGGCCCGAUGCUCUUCGUACUGAGAAGCAGGCGAAGCAGAAGAGCAAGAAGUGGUCUGACACCAAAGUGAAGGGGAAAGGGAAGGGGAAAGGGAAGAGGAAAAAUGGUAUUGAGGAGGAGGAGGAGGAGGAUUUUGAGGAAUUGGGUAGCAAAUCCAGGGGCAAGUCACCUCUACACUCAGUGCGAUGGGAGCGGAUUAUCUUAGAUGAGGCUCACUUCAUAAAAGAUAGACGAUGCAAUACUGCAAGGGCAGUUUUUGCAUUGGAAUCGGAAUACAAGUGGGCUCUGAGUGGGACACCAUUGCAAAAUCGUGUUGGAGAACUUUACUCACUGAUUCGCUUCUUGCAAAUCUUUCCAUACUCGAAGUACUUCUGCAAGGACUGUGACUGUCAGAUACUAGAUACCAAUAUGAAGAAAAAAUGCGACUGUGGUCACUCAUCCGUCAGGCACUUUUGCUGGUGGAAUAAGUACAUAGCGACACCAAUACUGUAUGGAUCCGCGAGUUUUGAGGGCAGAAGAGCCAUGACUCUUCUCAAGGAGAAGGUCUUGAAGGGCAUAGUGUUAAGGCGGACAAAAAUAGGCCGAGCUGCAGAUCUUGCUCUUCCACCGAAGACUGUGACAUUGAGGCGGGACUCUUUUGAUAGAAAUGAAAUGGAAUUUUAUGAAGCCUUAUAUACUCAAAGCUGCACGCAGUUUGAUUCGUAUGUUGUUGCUGGAACGUUGCUGAACAACUAUGCCCAUAUCUUUGACCUCCUCACAAGGUUGAGACAGGCUGUCGAUCAUCCAUACCUUGUUGCAUUUUCCAAGACAGCAGAAUCUCAGGAAGGAUGCAAAAAUCAACAAAAUGGUGCCAUGGAAAGCCAGUGUGGAAUAUGUCAUGAAUUGGCAGAAGAUGUGGUGGUUACAUCUUGCGAUCAUGUAUUCUGCAAGACUUGUUUGAUGGAGUACUCUGCAACUUUGGGGAAUGUUUCAUGCCCAUCUUGUUCAAAGCCUCUUACUGUUGACUUAACAACAGAAAACUCGAGACGAAAGGUCCCUGCAAAUUUGAAGGGUGGCAAACGCUCAGGAAUACUAGCCAGACUACAAAGCCUAGCAGAUUUCAAGACAAGUACGAAAAUUGAUGCAUUGAGAGAAGAAAUAAGAAACAUGAUUGAGCAUGAUGGUUCUGCAAAAGGGAUUGUUUUCAGCCAGUUCACAUCGUUCUUGGAUUUGAUUGAAUUCUCCCUGCAGAGGUCUGGCAUCAAGUGUGUGCAACUUAAUGGGAAAAUGAACAUGGUGGAGAAGGGGAGAGCUAUAGAUACCUUCAUAAAUGACCCAGAUUGCAGGAUUUUCCUGAUGAGCCUGAAAGCGGGAGGAGUAGCUCUUAAUCUCACUGUAGCAUCUCAUGUUUUCUUGAUGGAUCCUUGGUGGAAUCCAGCAGUGGAGAGCCAAGCGCAGGAUCGAAUCCACCGAAUCGGACAAUUCAAGCCUAUUAGAAGCACGAGGUUUGUGAUCAAAGACACAGUUGAAGAGCGCAUCCUACAACUGCAAGAGAAGAAGCAGCUUGUGUUCGAUGGCACCGUGGGUGACUCGCCAGAGGCCAUGUCGAAGCUUACAGAGGCUGACCUGAAGUUCCUGUUCCAGAACUAA
rnacentral:rRNA from 1 species